UACGGAGGGUGCAAGCGUUAUUCGGAAUUACUGGGCGUAAAGCGCGUGCAGGCGGGCUAGCAAGUCUGAUGUGAAAGCCCCGGGCUUAACCUGGGAAGUGCAUUGGAAACUGCUAGUCUUGAGUGCUGGAGAGGAAGGGGGAAUUCCCGGUGUAGAGGUGAAAUUCGUAGAGAUCGGGAGGAAUACCAGUGGCGAAGGCGCCCUUCUGGACGGCAACUGACGCUGAGACGCGAAAGCGUGGGGAGCAAACAGG
rnacentral:rRNA from 1 species